GACCGGCGCACGGGUGAGUAACACGUAUCCAACCUGCCGUCUACUCUUGGACAGCCUUCUGAAAGGAAGAUUAAUACAAGAUGGCAUCAUGAGUCCGCAUGUUCACAUGAUUAAAGGUAUUCCGGUAGACGAUGGGGAUGCGUUCCAUUAGAUAGUAGGCGGGGGUAACGGCCCACCUAGUCUUCGAUGGGUAGGGGUUCUGAGAGGAAGGUCCCCCACAUUGGAGCUGAGACACGGUCCAAACUCCUACGGGAGGCAGCAUG
rnacentral:rRNA from 1 species